rnacentral:rRNA from 2 species
AAACGACUCUCGGCAACGGAUAUCUCGGCUCUCGCAUCGAUGAAGAACGUAGCGAAAUGCGAUACUUGGUGUGAAUUGCAGAAUCCCGUGAACCAUCGAGUCUUUGAACGCAAGUUGCGCCCGAGGCCCUCGGGCCGAGGGCACGUCUGCCUGGGUGUCACGC